rnacentral:tRNA from 1 species
GCGGCUAUGGCUCAAUGGAUAGAGCGCUGGUUUCCGAAUCUGUAGGUCUUUGGUUCGAAUCCCACUCGGUGCG